rnacentral:rRNA from 1 species
GAUGAACGCUGACAGAAUGCUUAACACAUGCAAGUCGAUUCGAUUUACCUUCGGGUAUUGAGGAUGGCGGACGGGUGAGUAACGCGUAAGGAACUUGCCUCUUGGUCUGGGACAACUGUUGGAAACGACAGCUAAUACCGGAUAUUAUGAGAUUCUCGCAUGGGAAACUUAUGAAAGCUAUAUGCGCCAAGAGAGAGCCUUGCGUUCCAUUAGCUAGUUGGUGGGGUAACGGCCCACCAAGGCGACGAUGGAUAGCCGGCCUGAGAGGGUGAACGGCCACAAGGGGACUGAGACACGGCCCUUACUCCUACGGGAGGCAGCAGUGGGGAAUAUUGGACAAUGGGCCACAAGCCUGAUCCAGCAAUUCUGUGUGCACGAUGAAGGUCUUCGGAUUGUAAAGUGCUUUCAGUUGGGAAGAAGAAAGUGACGGUACCAACAGAAGAAGCGACGGCUAAAUACGUGCCAGCAGCCGCGGUAAUACGUAUGUCGCAAGCGUUAUCCGGAUUUAUUGGGCGUAAAGCGCGUCUAGGCGGAAAAAUAAGUCUGAUGUUAAAAUGCGGGGCUCAACUCCGUAUUGCGUUGGAAACUGUUUUUCUAGAGUACUGGAGAGGUGGGCGGAACUACAAGUGUAGAGGUGAAAUUCNUAGAUAUUUGUAGGAAUG